UUUAUGGAGAGUUUGAUCCUGGCUCAGGAUGAACGCUGGCGGCGUGCCUAAUACAUGCAAGUCGAGCGAACGGACGAGAAGCUUGCUUCUCUGAUGUUAGCGGCGGACGGGUGAGUAACACGUGGAUAACCUACCUAUAAGACUGGGAUAACUUCGGGAAACCGGAGCUAAUACCGGAUAAUAUUUUGAACCGCAUGGUUCAAAAGUGAAAGACGGUCUUGCUGUCACUUAUAGAUGGAUCCGCGCUGCAUUAGCUAGUUGGUAAGGUAACGGCUUACCAAGGCAACGAUGCAUAGCCGACCUGAGAGGGUGAUCGGCCACACUGGAACUGAGACACGGUCCAGACUCCUACGGGAGGCAGCAGUAGGGAAUCUUCCGCAAUGGGCGAAAGCCUGACGGAGCAACGCCGCGUGAGUGAUGAAGGUCUUCGGAUCGUAAAACUCUGUUAUUAGGGAAGAACAUAUGUGUAAGUAACUGUGCACAUCUUGACGGUACCUAAUCAGAAAGCCACGGCUAACUACGUGCCAGCAGCCGCGGUAAUACGUAGGUGGCAAGCGUUAUCCGGAAUUAUUGGGCGUAAAGCGCGCGUAGGCGGUUUUUUAAGUCUGAUGUGAAAGCCCACGGCUCAACCGUGGAGGGUCAUUGGAAACUGGAAAACUUGAGUGCAGAAGAGGAAAGUGGAAUUCCAUGUGUAGCGGUGAAAUGCGCAGAGAUAUGGAGGAACACCAGUGGCGAAGGCGACUUUCUGGUCUGUAACUGACGCUGAUGUGCGAAAGCGUGGGGAUCAAACAGGAUUAGAUACCCUGGUAGUCCACGCCGUAAACGAUGAGUGCUAAGUGUUAGGGGGUUUCCGCCCCUUAGUGCUGCAGCUAACGCAUUAAGCACUCCGCCUGGGGAGUACGACCGCAAGGUUGAAACNNNNNNNNNNCAAAGGAAUUGACGGGGACCCGCACAAGCGGUGGAGCAUGUGGUUUAAUUCGAAGCAACGCGAAGAACCUUACCAAAUCUUGACAUCCUUUGACAACUCUAGAGAUAGAGCCUUCCCCUUCGGGGGACAAAGUGACAGGUGGUGCAUGGUUGUCGUCAGCUCGUGUCGUGAGAUGUUGGGUUAAGUCCCGCAACGAGCGCAACCCUUAAGCUUAGUUGCCAUCAUUAAGUUGGGCACUCUAAGUUGACUGCCGGUGACAAACCGGAGGAAGGUGGGGAUGACGUCAAAUCAUCAUGCCCCUUAUGAUUUGGGCUACACACGUGCUACAAUGGACAAUACAAAGGGCAGCGAAACCGCGAGGUCAAGCAAAUCCCAUAAAGUUGUUCUCAGUUCGGAUUGUAGUCUGCAACUCGACUACAUGAAGCUGGAAUCGCUAGUAAUCGUAGAUCAGCAUGCUACGGUGAAUACGUUCCCGGGUCUUGUACACACCGCCCGUCACACCACGAGAGUUUGUAACACCCGAAGCCGGUGGAGUAACCUUUUAGGAGCUAGCCGUCGAAGGUGGGACAAAUGAUUGGGGUGAAGUCGUAACAAGGUAGCCGUAUCGGAAGGUGCGGCUGGAUCACCUCCUUUCU
rnacentral:rRNA from 1 species